AGUGAACGCUGGCGGUAGGCCUAACACAUGCAAGUCGAACGGCAGCACAGUAAGAGCUUGCUCUUACGGGUGGCGAGUGGCGGACGGGUGAGGAAUACAUCGGAAUCUACUUUUUCGUGGGAGAUAACGUAGGGAAACUUACGCUAAUACCGCAUACGACCUACGGGUGAAAGCAGGGGAUCUUCGGACCUUGCGCGAUUGAAUGAGCCGAUGUCGGAUUAGCUAGUUGGCGGGGUAAAGGCCCACCAAGGCGACGAUCCGUAGCUGGUCUGAGAGGAUGAUCAGCCACACUGGAACUGAGACACGGUCCAGACUCCUACGGGAGGCAGCAGUGGGGAAUAUUGGACAAUGGGCGCAAGCCUGAUCCAGCCAUACCGCGUGGGUGAAGAAGGCCUUCGGGUUGUAAAGCCCUUUUGUUGGGAAAGAAAAGCAGCAGGUUAAUACCCCGCUGUUCCGACGGUACCCAAAGAAUAAGCACCGGCUAACUUCGUG
rnacentral:rRNA from 1 species